rnacentral:lncRNA from 1 species
CCCGCCCCCCCCCCCACCCCCAAUAAACCCACCCANNNNNNNNNNNNNNNNNNNNNNNNNCGUGACCCUCCCCCCUCCCCCCAUCAUUAAUUAAGUCUUUAUUAAUGAAUCCAUUAAUUGGCUGGGAGGGAUUCGGGGUCUUUUCCUUACCCCCCCCCCUUCACCCCAUUUAAAUCAAUGGGGGGGGAGGGGGGGACGUUGCACGAGGGUUUUUUGCACGAGGACGUUGCACGGCUGGGCCUUGCAAUGGGGUGGUGUUGCACGAGGGGCUGGUCUUGCACGGGGGCUCCUUGUUGCACUUAUAUGGUCUGUUGCACGAGGAUCCGUGUCUUGCACGAGAGCUGUUGCACGAGUGGGUCUUUCUUGCACACGUCGUGUCUGUUGCACGAGGAUCAUGGUCUUGCACGAGUGCUUUUGCACAAGGGUUGUCCGUGUGCACGAUGGUCUUGCACGAUGUGGCCCCCCCUUGCACAAGGAGUCAUGCACGAGGAGUCGUGCACAAGCUCUUGGUAUCCUCGUGCACAAUGUUGGUGCACAACAGGACCCCUUCUUGCACAAGGGCUGUUGCACAAAUGGGACUUUGUUGCACGCGUAGUGUCUGUUGCACGAGGAUCAUGGUCUUGCACGCGUCUUGUACAAGGGCUGGUGCACGAGACCCAUUGCACGAGGAUCUGGGCUUCCUUCCACCUGCAUCUCUUGCAUCUCACAACGGGGUCACGACGAUGCACAAGUUGCACGCACUCGUGCUUUGCACAAGAGCACACAAUUUGCAUUGGCCUGCAUUGCACGCUCCCAACCCACAUGUGUUGCACGAGGGCUGCUUCUUCAGUGCAAAGCAAUGCGUGUGUUGCACUCCCGUGUGCCCCACAACUCCUUCCUUGCACAAGCAAAGUGCUGUGCGUUGCACGAGGGCUGCAGUGCAAUGGCUGCUGCAUUGCAAAAGUCCUUCAGUGUGCGUUGCACGAGGGCUGGUGUGCAUGA